GUACUUGGUUUUUACAGGUUUUUUUUUUUUUUCCAGUAAAUGGUUCAGAACUGUGAAGUUAAUUCCUAGCAGAUCACUGUCUGAGGUGAUCACAUUGAAACGAUUCAGAAAGAAACUAUUAAACUGCCUUCAAGUUAAAUUUAAAUAGGCAGUAUCAAAGGCACAAGGGGAAGGUGGUAAGGACUGGUUCAAGGAAAAUGGGAGUCAUUUCUGCAACUGAAGGCAUGUCUCAUGGAGGUUGAUGGUCCACCAUGGUCUGGAAGAGGGAAUACACUUUGGAUAGUGUUCCAGCAUGGGAUAGAUUGGUUUCCUGAAGCACAUCCUUUCUCCCAGCAUUUCCACGCAAAUCCAUAA
rnacentral:lncRNA from 1 species